rnacentral:rRNA from 1 species
ACGGAAUAGAUACCCAGGUAGUCCACGCCCUAAACGAUGUCUACUAGUUGUUGGUGGAGUAAAAUCCAUGAGUAAACGCAGCUAAACGCGUGAAGUAGACCGCCUGGGGAGUACGGUCGCAAGAUUAAAACUCAAAUGAAUUGACGGGGGCCCGCACAAGCGGUGGAUUAUGUGGAUUAAUUCGAUGCAACGCGAAAACCUUACCUGGCCUUGACAUGUAACGAACUUUCCAGAGAUGGAUUGGUGCUCGAAAGAGAACGUUAACACAGGUGCUGCAUGGCUGUCGUCAGCUCGUGUCGUGAGAUGUUGGGUUAAGUCCCGCAACGAGCGCAACCCUUGCCAUUAAUUGCCAUCAUUUAGUUGGGCACUUUAAUGGGACUGCCGGUGACAAACCGGAGGAAGGUGGGGAUGACGUCAAGUCCUCAUGGCCCUUAUGGCCAGGGCUUCACACGUAAUACAAUGGUCGGUACAGAGGGUUGCCAACCCGCGAGGGGUAGCCAAUCCCAGAAAGCCGAUCGUAGUCCGGAUUGUAGUCUGCAACUCGAC